rnacentral:rRNA from 1 species
GAUGAACGCUGGCGGCGUGCCUAAUACAUGCAAGUCGAGCGAACAGACGAGGAGCUUGCUCCUCUGACGUUAGCGGCGGACGGGUGAGUAACACGUGGAUAACCUACCUAUAAGACUGGGAUAACUUCGGGAAACCGGAGAUAAUACCGGAUAAUAUAUUGAACCGCAUGGUUCAAUAGUGAAAGACGGUUUUGCUGUCACUUAUAGAUGGAUCCGCGCCGCAUUAGCUAGUUGGUAAGGUAACGGCUUACCAAGGCAACGAUGCGUAGCCGACCUGAGAGGGUGAUCAGCCACACUGGAACGGAGACACGGUCCAGACUCCUACGGGAGGCAGCAGUAGGGAAUCUUCCGCAAUGAGCGAAAGCCUGACGGAGCAACGCCGCGUGAGUGAGGAAGGUCUUCGGAUCGUAAAACUCUGUUAUUAGGGAAGAACAAAUGUGUAAGUAACUAUGCACGUCUUGACGGUACCUAAUCAGAAAGCCACGGCUAACUACGUG